rnacentral:rRNA from 1 species
UUUUUUUGCAAGGCGGCAAUUUGGAAUUUUGAACACCGGCGGAAAGCAGAAACCCUCUCCGGUGUUAAAGUUUUGUUGUUAGGGGAGAAAAAAUACCUUUAAAAAAUGGGGGUACCUAGACGGUACCCACGAGAAAGCCCCGGCUAACUACGUGCCAGCAGCCGCGGUAUUACGUAGGGGGCAAGCGUUUUUCGGAAUUAUUGGGCGUAAAGCGCGCGCAGGCGGUUCUUUAAGUCUGAUGUGAAAUCCCCCGGCUUAACUCCGGAGGGUCAUUGGAAACUGGGGGACUUGAGUGCAGAAGAGGCGAGCGGAAUUCCACGUGUAGCGGUGAAAUGCGUAGAGAUCUGGAGGAACACCAGUGGCGAAGGCGGCUCUCUGGUCCGUCACUGACGCUGAGGCGCGAAAGCCUGGGGAGCAAACAGGAUUAGAUACCCCGGUAGUCCACGCCGUAAACGAUGAGUACUAAGUGUUAGGGGGUUCACACCCCUCUAGUGCUGUAGCUAACGCAUUAA